CCUACGGGUGGCAGCAGUGGGGAAUAUUGCACAAUGGGGGAAACCCUGAUGCAGCGACGCCGCGUGAGUGAAGAAGUAUCUCGGUACGUAAAGCUCUAUCAGCAGGGAAGAAAAUGACGGUACCUGACUAAGAAGCCCCGGCUAACUACGUGCCAGCAGCCGCGGUAAUACGUAGGGGGCAAGCGUUAUCCGGAUUUACUGGGUGUAAAGGGAGCGUAGACGGCAGCACAAGUCUGGAGUGAAAUCCCGGGGCUUAACCCCGGAACUGCUUUGGAAACUGUGCGGCUGGAGUGCAGGAGGGGUAAGCGGAAUUCCUAGUGUAGCGGUGAAAUGCGUAGAUAUUAGGAGGAACAUCAGUGGCGAAGGCGACUAUCUGGACAGCAACUGACACUGAGGCACGAAAGCGUGGGGAGCAAACAGGAUUAGAUACCCGGGUAGUC
rnacentral:rRNA from 1 species